rnacentral:rRNA from 1 species
CGCGAAAACUUCACACUGCAGGAAACUGUGAUGAGGGAACUCCAAGUGCUAUCACUAUGUGGUAGCUUUUCUUAACUAUUAAUCGGUUUUGGAAUAAGGGCUGGGAAAGACCGGUGCCAGCCGCCGCGGUAAUACCGGCAGCUCAAGUGGUCGUCGCUUUUAUUGGGCCUAAAGCGUCCGUAGCCUGUUUGGUAAAUCUGUGGGUAAAUCAAUCCGCUCAACGGAUUGAAUUCUGCAGAGACUGCCAGACUAGGGACCGGGAGAGGUGUGGGGUACUCGAGGGGUAGGGGUAAAUCCUGUCAUCCUUCGAGGACCACCAGUUGCGAAGGCGCCACACUGGAACGGAUCCGACGGUCAGGGACGAAGCCUAGGGGCACGAACCGGAUUAGAUACCCGGGUAGUCCUAGGUGUAAACGCUGUGAACUUGGUGUCGGGGGUCCGCAAGGGGUCCCCGGUGCCGGAGUGAAGAUGUUAAGUUCACUGCC